rnacentral:rRNA from 1 species
UAGAGAACGCUGCGGCAUGCCUAAUACAUGCAAGUCGAGCGGAGUAAGAAUGGAAGCUUGCUUCCAUUCUUGCUUAGCGGCGGACGGGUGAGUAACACGUAGGCAACCUGCCCUCAAGACUGGGAUAACUACCGGAAACGGUAGCUAAUACCGGAUAAUUUCUUUCCUCUCCUGAAGAGAGAAUGAAAGGCGGAGCAAUCUGCCACUUGGGGAUGGGCCUGCGGCGCAUUAGCUAGUUGGUGGGGUAACGGCUCACCAAGGCGACGAUGCGUAGCCGACCUGAGAGGGUGAACGGCCACACUGGGACUGAGACACGGCCCAGACUCCUACGGGAGGCAGCAGUAGGGAAUCUUCCGCAAUGGGCGAAAGCCUGACGGAGCAAUGCCGCGUGAGUGAUGAAGGUUUUCGGAUCGUAAAGCUCUGUUGCCAGGGAAGAACGUCCGGUAGAGUAACUGCUACCGGAGUGACGGUACCUGAGAAGAAAGCCCCGGCUAACUACGUGCCAGCAGCCGCGGUAAUACGUAGGGGGCAAGCGUUGUCCGGAAUUAUUGGGCGUAAAGCGCGCGCAGGCGGUCAUUUAAGUCUGGUGUUUAAACCUUGGGCUCAACCUGGGGUCGCACUGGAAACUGGGUGACUUGAGUACAGAAGAGGAAAGUGGAAUUCCACGUGUAGCGGUGAAAUGCGUAGAUAUGUGGAGGAACACCAGUGGCGAAGGCGACUUUCUGGGCUGUAACUGACGCUGAGGCGCGAAAGCGUGGGGAGCAAACAGGAUUAGAUACCCUGGUAGUCCACGCCGUAAACGAUGAGUGCUAGGUGUUAGGGGUUUCGAUACCCUUGGUGCCGAAGUUAACACAGUAAGCACUCCGC